CUUCUCUCUUCUCCCGUUUUAAUAAAUGUAAAACAUUUAAUAAAUGCCAUUUAAUAAGUGUUCCAGUAAAUGUAAUGGUUCUCCGCUGAGUAUUUUUUUUCUCUUCUACUCAGCCUUUUUCGUGAGUUCCUUGGAUGCUGAGCCUCUUUCCCUUCUAGGUAACCCAGUGUUGAGAGGGCUUGAGACCCACUGGCCUUGGGAACAGACCUCAAAGACACGCCCAGCCCACCAAGGACGAUCUGGUUUAAGCUACAACACACCACGCCGGCUUUCCACACCAAAUGUAAUGCCUAAAAAACCCAAAUGGCUUCGAAGUCGCAGCAGGCCAGUGAUUUCAAUUAUCCUGGCAUUCCUUGUGAGUUGGCCCAGCUUGUGUGAUUGGGAAUCCUGAGGGUCGGUCCAUCGGACUGAAUAUCAUUUUUACAAACGGAAAAAAUUAAGGUUGAAAUGGAAAGGCACAGAAAAAUAAUAUUGUCUGACCCAACUAUUUCUACAAGGAAUGGCUGGAAAUGGUGAGGUUACACAGAUUGUUAAUGGAUCUGGAAAUAAAGCCCUGCUUUAUUGAAAUUUUAGUAAAGAAGGCUGAAGACUUGUUUUAGGGGUGACAGGGGGGUAAGAUAAUAUAUAAAAAAAUUUUUUUUGUUUUCCUUUUGUUAUUGCCAAGCAUCA
rnacentral:lncRNA from 1 species